GAUGAACGCUGGCGGCGUGCCUAAUACAUGCAAGUCGAGCGAACGGACGAGAAGCUUGCUUUUCUGAUGUUAGCGGCGGACGGGUGAGUAACACGUGGAUAACCUACCUAUAAGACUGGGAUAACUUCGGGAAACCGGAGCUAAUACCGGAUAAUAUUUUGAACCGCAUGGUUCAAAAGUGAAAGACGGUCUUGCUGUCACUUAUAGAUGUAUCCGCGCUGCAUUAGCUAGUUGGUAAGGUAACGGCUUACCAAGGCAACGAUGCAUAGCCGACCUGAGAGGGUGAUCGGCCACACUGGAACUGAGACACGGUCCAGACUCCUACGGGAGGCAGCAGUAGGGAAUCUUCCGCAAUGGGCGAAAGCCUGACGGAGCAACGCCGCGUGAGUGAUGAAGGUCUUCGGAUCGUAAAACUCUGUUAUUAGGGAAGAACAUCUGUGUAAGUAAAUGUGCCCAUCUUGACGGUACCUAAUCAGAAAGCCCCGGCUAACUACGUG
rnacentral:rRNA from 1 species